GUGAAAAAAGCUUUUAACGUGUCCCGCCUGGGGAGUACGGUCGCAGGCUAAACUCAAGGAAUUGACGGGGGCCCGCACAAGCAGCGGAGCGUGUGGUUUAAUUCGAUGCUACACGAAGAACCUUACCAAGAUUUGACAUGCAUGAAGUAGUGAACCGAAAGGGAAACGACCUGUUAAGUCAGGAGUUUGCACAGGUGCUGCAUGGCUGUCGUCAGCUCGUGCCGUGAGGUGUUUGGUUAAGUCCUGCAACGAGCGCAACCCUUGUUGCUAGUUAAAUUUUCUAGCGAGACUGCCCCGCGAAACGGGGAGGAAGGUGGGGAUGACGUCAAGUCAGCAUGGCCUUUAUAUCUUGGGCUACACACACGCUACAAUGGACAGAACAAUAGGUUGCAACAGUGUGAUGGGGAGCUAAUCCU
rnacentral:rRNA from 1 species